rnacentral:rRNA from 1 species
UACGUAGGCAGCUAGCGUUGUUCGGAGUUACUGGGCGUAAAGGGUGCGUAGGCGGCUUUUUAAGUUUGGUGUGAAAGCUCCCGGCUCAACUGGGAGGGUGCGUCGAAUACUGAGAGGCUAGAGUGUGGGAGAGGAAAGUGGAAUUCCUGGUGUAGCGGUGAAAUGCGUAGAUAUCAGGAGGAACACCGGUGGUGUAAACGGCUUUCUGGACCAUAACUGACGCUGAUGCACGAAAGCGUGGGUAGCAAACAGG